CCCUAGUAUUGAGAGUGUAUUUAAAUUAGUAAGUGGGAAAUUUAAUAAUUUUGGCGGUUAAUUGAUAUUUAGAGGAGCUUGUAUUUUAUAGAAUUUGCUCUUUAUAUUUUAUAAAUAAUUUAAUUUAUUCAUCUCCGUUAUUAAUUUUUAAAUGCGAAGGUUAAUUAAAAUUGAAAUUAAAAUUUCAGGUCAAGAUGUAGUAUUUAUUUUGAGAUAUUUAGCUACAUUUAUGAAAUUAGUGGAUUUUAAAUUAUAAAGAAUUAGUAAAUUAUGAGAAAUUGAAUUUAGUUGUAAUAGUAAUUAGACUGUUAUUAUGAAUUGAUUUGAUUAAUGUA
rnacentral:rRNA from 1 species